rnacentral:tRNA from 2 species
GGUCCCGUAGCUCAGUUGGAUAGAGCAACAGCCUUCUAAGCUGUGGGUCAGAGGUUCGAAUCCUCUCGGGAUCACCA